rnacentral:rRNA from 1 species
AUGGACCCAGUGCCGAGCCUGGUCAAGGAGGAGGAGGAGGAGGGUGCCCACGGGACAGGCGAUUCGCCGGCGGUCGGGGCGGCGCCAAGGCCGAUGGAGGGGCUGCACGACGCCGGGCCGCCGCCGUUCCUGACGAAGACGUACGACAUGGUCGAUGACCCCAACACCGACAGCAUCAUGUCGUGGAGCGCCGGCAACAACAGCUUCGUGGUGUGGGAUCCGCACGCCUUCGCCACCGUGCUGCUGCCCAGGCAGUUCAAGCACAGCAACUUCUCCAGCUUCGUCAGGCAGCUCAACACCUAUGGCUUCAGAAAGGUGGAUCCUGACAGAUGGGAGUUUGCCAAUGAGGGUUUCCUACGGGGACAGAGGCACCUUCUGAAGAACAUCAGGCGUCGUAAACCUCCCGCUCAUACUGCCUCAAAUCAGCAGUCCCUUGGAUCUUACCUUGAGGUGGGGCACUUCGGAUAUGAUGCAGAGAUUGACCGGCUGAAAAGGGACAAGCAACUGUUGAUGGCAGAAGUGGUGAAGCUAAGGCAGGAACAGCAGAACACGAAGGCGCGUCUGAAAGCCAUGGAGGAUAGGCUAUGUGGAACCGAGCAGAAGCAGCAGCAGAUGACGUCAUUCAUGGCACGUAUCUUGCGGAACCCUGAAUUCUUGAAGCAACUGAUUGCCAAGAAUGGGAUGAGGAAGGAGCUCCAUGACGCUAUCUCGAAGAAAAGGAGGCGCCGCAUCGACGGUGGACCUGAAGCUUAUGCCAUGGGUGCUAGUAGCAGCAGCCUGGACCAAGAGUUGCCUGUUGUGUUUGAUUCUCAUGGGUCAGUGGAACUUCUUGCCGAGGGGUCGGUGCCGGUGGAACUCCUUUCUGACGGGAUCCCACCCGAUCUGGAAGGCUCAGUGGACCUCCUUGGUGACGAGAUCCCACCUGGCCUGGAAGGUUCAGUGGCACUCCUUGCUGACGGCCUGGAAGGUUCCGUGGAACUCCUUGUUGAUGGGAUUCCAUCUGAUCUCGACGCAGGUAUCGACUCUAACGGCGUAACAGAGCCACAGGAUUAUGGUCUCGGUACCUGUGAAGCGCAGCAGAACAGAGCCCCGGGGCUGUUCCAUGAUAAUUUCUGGGAGGAGCUGCUGAACAAAGGACUCAGCGUUGAGAACGACGAGCCGGUUAACGUAGACGGCAUGGAUGUGCUGUCUGAGAAGAUGGGUUAUCUCAUCCCAAAUAGCCCAACCCUCUCAACCUAG